GACGAACGCUGGCGGCGUGCUUAACACAUGCAAGUCGAACGGAAAGGCCCUGCUUUUGUGGGGUGCUCGAGUGGCGAACGGGUGAGUAACACGUGAGUAACCUGCCCUUGACUUUGGGAUAACUUCAGGAAACUGGGGCUAAUACCGGAUAGGAGCUCCUGCUGCAUGGUGGGGGUUGGAAAGUUUCGGCGGUUGGGGAUGGACUCGCGGCUUAUCAGCUUGUUGGUGGGGUAGUGGCUUACCAAGGCUUUGACGGGUAGCCGGCCUGAGAGGGUGACCGGCCACAUGGGGACGGAGAUACGGCCAGACUCCUACGGGAGGCAGCAGUGGGGAAUAUUGCACAAUGGGCGGAAGCCUGAUGCAGCAACGCCGCGUGCGGGAUGACGGCCUUCGGGUUGUAAACCGCUUUCGCCUGUGACGAAGCGUGAGUGACGGUAAUGGGUAAAGAAGCACCGGCUAACUACGUG
rnacentral:rRNA from 1 species